CCUACGGGAGGCUGCAGUGAGGAAUAUUGGUCAAUGGCCGCAGGGCUGAACCAGCCAAGUAGCGUGAGGGAUGACGGUCCUAUGGAUUGUAAACCUCUUUUGUCAGGGAGCAAAGGGCGCCACGUGUGGCGUUUUGCGAGUACCGGAAGAAAAAGCAUCGGCUAACUCCGUGCCAGCAGCCGCGGUAAUACGGAGGAUGCGAGCGUUAUCCGGAUUUAUUGGGUUAAAAGGGUGCGCAGGCGGAAGGUCAAGUCAGCGGUAAAAUUUCGGGGCACAACCCCGUCCUGCCGUGGAAACUGGGGUUCUUGAGUGAGCGAGAGGUAUGCGGAAUGCGUGGUGUAGCGGUGAAAUGCAUAGAUAUCACGCAGAACUCCGAUUGCGAAGGCAGCAUACCGGCGCUCAACUGACGCUGAUGCUCGAAAGCGUGGGUAUCGAACAGGAUUAGAUACCCUUGUAGUC
rnacentral:rRNA from 1 species